UCCCUGGUGGCUCAGAUGGUAAAGAACCCACCUGCAACGUGGGAGACCUGGGUUAGAUCCCUGGGUCGGGGAG
rfam:Ovis aries breed Texel chromosome 1, whole genome shotgun sequence.